rnacentral:rRNA from 1 species
AACGAUCAGAUACCGUUGUAGUCUUAACUAUAAAUUCUACUGGCCAGGGAUGGGAUAAUGUCCAUCUCGACUCCCCCCGGACCUCGGAGAAAUUGGAGUCUUUGAGUUCUGGGGGGAGUAUGGUCGCAAGGCUGAAACUUAAAGGAAUUGACGGAAGGGCACACAAAGAGUGGAACCUGCGGCUUAAUUUGACUCAACACGGGGAAACUCACCAGGUCAGGAUACACGGAUGAAGGACAAGCUGCGAGACUUUUCCCAAUGAUGUAAGUGGUGGUGCAUGGCCGUUCGUAGUUCGUGGAUUGAUUUGUCUGGUCUAUUCCGAUAACGAGCGAGACCCCUACGUUCCUACUAGGGGCAGCUGCCCAGCUUGGUUCUCUUUCUGGUGGGGGGAUCGCCUCCUUUCUCUUUUCCCUUCCCUUCCUCCCCUCUCUUUAACCGGGGAGGGGCCGGUGGGGCGGGGCUGGGGGCCGGGAGGUCCCUUUUCCAGCGGGGGGAGCCUCGUUAGCAGCUGUCUUGAUGUAUGCUUCUUAGACGUAUCAGAGCCGAUAAGGUUCUUGGAAUGGGUUAAUAACAGGUCAGUCAUGCCCUUAGAUGUUCUGGGCCGCACGCGCGUUACAAUGGCAUGUU